rnacentral:rRNA from 1 species
UGAGGAAUAUUGCGCAAUGGGCGAAAGCCUGACGCAGCGACGCCGCGUGGAGGAUGACGGUCUUCGGAUUGUAAACUCCUGUUAAGUGGGAAGAAAGAAUUGUUUUUAAUACAGACAAGAGAUGACUGUACCAUUAGAGAAAGCACCGGCUAACUUCGUGCCAGCAGCCGCGGUAAUACGAGGGGUGCAAGCGUUAUUCGGAAUCAUUGGGCGUAAAGGGUGCGUAGACGGCUUGUUAAGUCAACUGUUAAAUUCUCCGGCCUAACUGGAGGUCAGCGGUAGAAACUGGCGAGCUUGAGAUUGGAAGAGAGGAGUGGAAUUCUCGGAGUAGCGGUAAAAUGCGUAGAUCUCGAGAGGAACACCGAUGGCGAAGGCAGCUCCUUGGUCCAUAUCUGACGUUGAGGCACGAAAGCGUGGGGAGCAAACAGGAUUAGAUACCCGUGUAGUCC